rnacentral:misc_RNA from 1 species
AACUGAUACUACCUGCGGGAACCUGCGGAGGGAUCAUUACUGAAGUGAUUUGGGGAUGUUGCUGGCCCUCUCUCAAGGGGGGGCACUGUGCACUCCUCGAAACAAUUCACAAUUUCCAUCACACCCCUUGUGCACACCUUGUAGGCACCCAAACCCACCUCCGGGUGGUGGGGUCCUAUGUAUUCCUUCAUCUCACGCUCUGUUGAAUGGUGCCAUGGGACGCAUCUAAAGGAUUAUUUG